UCGUUGUAGCAAUACGAUGGAAAGUUUAGUGGCGAACGGGUGCUUAACACGUGGGCAACCUGCCAGGAAGUGGGGGAUAGCUCGCCGAAAGGCGAAUUAAUACCGCAUGUGAUUAGAGAGGACAUCCUUUCGAAAUUAAAGUCGGGGCAACCUGACGCUUCUUGUGGGCCCGCGGCCUAUCAGCUAGUUGGUGAGGUAACGGCUCACCAAGGCUUUGACGGGUAGCUGGUCUGAGAGGACGACCAGCCACACUGGGACUGAGACACGGCCCAGACACCUACGGGUGGCAGCAGUCGAGAAUUUUUGACAAUGGGGGAAACCCUGAUCGAGCGACGCCGCGUGGAGGAUGAAGGUCUUCGGAUUGUAAACUCCUGUCAUUGGGGAACAAUGCGUGACGGUUAACUGCCGUCGCGUUGAUAGUACCCGAAGAGGAAGAGACGGCUAACUCUGUGCCAGCAGCCGCGGUAAUACAGAGGUCUCAAGCGUUGUUCGGAUUCAUUGGGCGUAAAGGGUGCGUAGGCGGCGCGGUAAGUCGGGUGUGAAAUCUCGGGGCUUAACUCCGAAACUGCAUUCGAUACUGCCGUGCUUGAGGACUGGAGAGGAGACUGGAAUUCUCGGUGUAGCA
rnacentral:rRNA from 1 species